rnacentral:rRNA from 1 species
UACGAAGGGGGCUAGCGUUGCUCGGAAUCACUGGGCGUAAAGGGUGCGUAGGCGGGUCUUUAAGUCAGAGGUGAAAUCCUGGAGCUCAACUCCAGAACUGCCUUUGAUACUGAGGAUCUUGAGUUCGGGAGAGGUGAGUGGAACUGCGAGUGUAGAGGUGAAAUGCGUAGAUAUCUGGAGGAACACCGGUGGCGAAGGCGGCUUCCUGGACCGACACUGACGCUGAGGCGCGAAAGCCAGGGGAGCAAACGGG